CUGCUCUGCACUACGCUGUGUAUAAUGAAGAUACAUCCAUGAUAGAAAAACUUCUUUCAUAUGGUGCAAAUAUUGAAGAAUGAGGAUGAAUAUCCGCCACUGUUCCUUGCUGUGAGUCAAAGAAAAGUGAAAAUGGUGGAAUUUUUAUUAAAGAAAAAAGCAAAUAUAAAUGCCGUUGAUUAUCUUGGCAGAUCAGCCCUCAUACAUGCUGUUACUCUUGGAGAAAAAGCAUUUUUGAACUAAUUUAUGAAUAUGAAAGAAAGAAACAUGAAGAGCUUUCUAUAAAUAGCAA
rnacentral:lncRNA from 1 species